rnacentral:rRNA from 1 species
GCCCGAAGAGUUUGAUCAUGGCUCAGAUUGAACGCUGGCGGCAGGCUUAACACAUGCAAGUCGAGCGGUAACAGAGAUAGCUUGCUAUCUGCUGACGAGCGGCGGACGGGUGAGUAAUGCUUGGGAAUAUGCCUUAUGGUGGGGGACAACAGUUGGAAACGACUGCUAAUACCGCAUAACGUCUACGGACCAAAGGGGGGGGGACCUUGCGCUAUUGGAGAAGCCUGCGUCGGAUUAGCUAGUUGGUGGGGUAAAGGCCCACCAAGGCGACGAUCCGUAGCUGGUCUGAGAGGAUGAUCAGCCACACUGGGACUGAGACACGGCCCAGACUCCUACGGGAGGCAGCAGUGGGGAAUAUUGGACAAUGGGGGCAACCCUGAUCCAGCCAUGCCGCGUGUGUGAAGAUGGCCUUAGGGGUUGUAAAGCACUUUCAGUGGGGAGGAAGGUAUCAAGUUUAAUAUGCUUGGUAAUUGACGUUACCCACAGAAGAAGGACCGGCUAACUCCGUGCCAGCAGCCGCGGUAAUACGGAGGGUCCGAGCGUUAAUCGGGAUGACUGGGCGUAAAGCGCGCGUAGGUGGUUAUUUAAGUUGGAUGUGAAAGCCCAGGGCUCAACCUUGGAUCUGCAUCCAAAACUGGGUAACUAGAGUACAGUAGAGGGGGGUAGAAUUUCAGGUGUAGCGGUGAAAUGCGUAGAGAUCUGAAGGAAUACCAGUGGCGAAGGCGGCCCGCUGGAUUGAUACUGACACUGAGGUGCGAAAGCGUGGGUAGCAAACAGGAUUAGAUACCCUGGUAGUCCAUGCCGUAAACGAUGUCAACUAGCCGUUGGAAGACUUGAUCUUUUAGUAGCGCAGUUAACGCGAUAAGCACUCCGCCUGGGGAGUACGGCCGCAAGGUUAAAACUCAAAUGAAUUGACGGGGGCCCGCACAAGCGGUGGAGCAUGUGGUUUAAUUCGAUGCAACGCGAAGAACCUUACCUACCCUUGACAUCCUGCGAAUCCUGUAGAGAUAUGGGAGUGCCUUCGGGAAUGCAGAGACAGGUGCUGCAUGGCUGUCGUCAGCUCGUGUUGUGAAAUGUUGGGUUAAGUCCCGUAACGAGCGCAACCCUUGUCCUUAGUUGCCAGCAAUUCGGUUGGGGACUCUAAGGAGACUGCCGGUGACAAACCGGAGGAAGGUGGGGACGACGUCAAGUCAUCAUGGCCCUUACGGGUAGGGCUACACACGUGCUACAAUGGUCGGUACAGAGGGUUGCGAAGUCGCGAGGCGGAGCCAAUCCCAGAAAGCCGAUCGUAGUCCGGAUUGCAGUCUGCAACUCGACUGCAUGAAGUUGGAAUCGCUAGUAAUCGCGAAUCAGAACGUCGCGGUGAAUACGUUCCCGGGCCUUGUACACACCGCCCGUCACACCAUGGGAGUGGGUUGCAAAAGAAGUGGGUAGUCUAACCUUCGGGAGGGCGCUCACCACUUUGUGAUUCAUGACUGGGGUGAAGUCGUAACAAGGUAGC